CCCGCACAAGCGGUGGAGGCACGUGGUUUAAUUCGAUGCAAAGCGAAGAACCUUACCCGGGCUUGACAUGCCAGGGUUGUACCCCGGUGGAAACACUGGGGGAGCGUGGGGUUUUCUCACGCGCUCUGGCACAGGUGCUGCAUGGCUGUCGUCAGCUCGUGUCGUGAGAUGUUGGGUUAAGUCCCGCAACGAGCGCAACCCCCGCCCUUAGUUGCUACCGGGUAAAGCCGGGCACUCUAAGGGGACUGCCGGGGAUAACCCGGAGGAAGGAGGGGAUGACGUCAAGUCCUCAUGGCCCUUAUGCCCGGGGCUACACACGUGCUACAAUGGGGGGUACAGAGGGUUGCGAACCCGCAAGGGGGAGCUAAUCCCAGAAAGCCCUCCUCAGUUCGGAUCGGGGUCUGCAACUCGACCCCGUGAAGCCGGAAUCGCUAGUAAUGGCGGAUCAGCAUGCCGCCGUGAAUACGUUCCCGGGCCUU
rnacentral:rRNA from 1 species